GAAUACAAUACAACAAAAAAGCUUAUUUUCUCAAUUUCAGAAGGACUGCUUGAUGUGAAGCAUCAGCAUCACAACACAACCACUAAGCCAUGGGACCCAGGCCGUCCAAACCUCAACCCUGCCCACCUUCUCCUUCUUUUCCUGAGGAAUGGAGGAA